rnacentral:tRNA from 1 species
GCCUUCGUGGUGUAGUGGUCAGCACGCUCGACGCGUACUCGAAAGGUCUGUGGUUCGAGUCCCAGCGAGGGCU